GGAAAAAUUAGUUGACAAAUAAUUAGUUUAAAGUGUUCAAAUUCCAAAAAAUUAUCAAGACUAUUAAAUUGAGUAUUCUUUUCGGUCAGGGUUACCUUUUACCUUAUUAGAUUUAAUUUCCCUAAGAUUCUCGUAAACAAUCACAACAAAACAGAGUGAUACAAUACAAUGUUAGUUCCACAGUAACAUUUACAAAGAACAAGAUAUCAAUAAUAAUGAUCUUAAAGCAAGGGAAAAGGACUGGACUUUCGGGUUGGGCUGACAAUUAGUCAGGCCCAACCAAAUUCAAACAGUAGACUUCAGCAGAUGACAAGGGAGGCAGCCUAAUUCUUCGAACUUGAGACUGAGUCCAUCAUGAACUCCACAUGCCUAGUGUACAUGCAAAAGAAAAAUAAGAAAACCAAUUAGCAUGUGCCAAUAAAUGUAAAGCAGAAAAUAAUAACAAUAAAUAUUAGCAUGAUUCAAAAUAAAUAUGGCAAAGCCCAAUUUCAUUUCUUCUAAUCCCCUAAUAAUUUAUCAAAGUCAAUGAAUGUAGGCUUGAAGUGAACCAUAUGAACUUACAAGGAUCCCUUACGAACCCUUGGCAUUUUAGAGUUCACAAGGGUCUCUUGGACCCCGAUCAGUGCUUGUACCAGGGAAGGGUCCCUUGAUAGUAAAAUUAAGUCCGUAAUAGAUACCUCAGCUAUUUAACCUUGUUAUUCCAUAGGGGUUUAAAUAAAAAAGAAACCCCUGACUUAGCCUUUUGAAUAAACUAGCUAGGCAGCCCAAACAUUCCACACGAGAAAAACUAUCAUAAGCACAUAAAGUCCUAUAUGAUACCUCAAACUAUCUAAUCAUGAUAUAUAUUUCAAGAACUCAGUCAAACAAAGGUACAAAUAGUUUUAGGACAAUACCAAACUUGUUGGCAAACAAUCAUUCUAAGAACUGAAACAAUCACUUGAGUGAAAUGCUAUAAAUGAUCAGGGGACUAGCACAUGAUUAUGUUUGAAACUAUCUUUAGUAAGUGAUCACUGUCAAGAUACAUAAUGUAAGGAUAUAUCAUCACAUAUAGUUCUCAAUGUUUUUAACACUUUCAAAGACUUAAAUAUCAAUUCAGAACCAUUCCACAUAUUAUAAAAUCUAUACAACCCUCUUAAGAAUCACUGUUCCAAACAAACAAAAUCAAGAGAGUCACAAAGAACAAGUGGUUAAUUAUAUACUUCUAUAACAUGCUUGCUAUGUUACAGAUAACUUCAACUUUAAGAAUGUCACUUUAGGCAGUUAAAGGCAUCAUUUGGGAGUUAGCAAAAAACAAACACAUACACUCACUUAUUGAGUUUUCAUCAGAGGUCUAUUGUUUCAUAAGGUCAGAACAGUAUCAACAUAUGUUUUUCUACAAUAAGUUAGUCUAUGUCAUUAAUGCUAGAAAUCUUGAAAAAAUUAAACAGCUUAGGGAAGACAAAAAAAUGUAUCAACAAAAAGUACAACUCAUAAUUAAACUUCAAUGGACAUCAAAAAACCUAAGCUAAACACUUUAUACAUGGGACUAACUCCACAAAGUCAGGCCAAUCAGAGAGGUUAUCAGAGCUAUUAAACUAGAAAGGAUGAUUAGAUUUUAAUCUCAAAGUGCAACCUACAGACAUGGUAUCUACAACAGGAUUGUAGAUGGUGAAAGAUAGAAUUUGUAACUAAUAAAUCAAAUAGCCUCGGCCAACAAUACUCAAUUAGUGGUGCCUUUAGGUAUUCUAGGCAUGGUAUCUUUAAACAUAAACAGUUAGUAAAAACUGCAAGCAUGAUUCCCUUAAUCAAAAUAGAGUUGCUAAACAAAUAAGGACAGUCAUUCAAGUUUCAGUACAAGUUCUAUUUUAUGUUAAAAUGAUAAACAGAAUUACUACCAACUAGACUUCAAACAAUCAAAUAUGCUAACAUGAUAGGUACACACAGUACUGAUGACAGAUUCCAAUUAGCUAAACAAGAAAAGGUAGGAAUUUGAACGGCGAACAACAAAAGAAAUAAUGGCUACACAUAAUAUAAACAUGAGAAACAAGAUUCAAUGGUCAACAUGUAUUGGCUUAAACAAACAACAUAUGAGAUAAACAUAAUUGUUAAUGGAAAGUAUCAAUUGGUCAAGUGAAAAAAUAAUAUAUGCAGCAGACAUAAUUGAAAGUUACAUGCUUCACUAAUGAAUAUCAUGAAGGAGAGUAGGCAGAAGAUUGACAAAAAAUACUAGAUAAUCAAAUGAAAACAACAUAAGAAAACUAUAGAGAAAAUCUAAUUGAUUAAAGUAAGAUCAGUGGUCUAUUGACCUUCUUCGGGGCAUCAAACCAAGUAGUCAUUCUUAACCGUUUAGGAUCCAAGGUCCACAACCAAUUUCCAGUAUUUAAACUCGAGUAGAAAAGAAAGAAAUAAAGGAGGUUUAGAGAAAUCCACCGAGUACUUAAAGGAAAUUGGUUCUAGAGCAAUUACUAGAGUUCUUAUUGUAAUUGUGUGUGUUGGUAAGGGCAUUAAAGCCGGCUAUUUAUACCUAUGAUUGGGCCUUAAGGGUUUCGUUCAAGAUUUGAAAAUCAGUGGAAGAUGAUGAUGAUGUUGAUGAUGAUGAACAUGGAUAAAAUCAAAAAGGGAAAAAAUGAAAAAUCAGAGGGGAAAUCAGGAUAGGGAUUUUACCUAUUCGAAAUGAUGAUCGGGCUUUGCGUUGAGACCAUCGGACCACCGAGAAAUGCUAAUACCCAGAGGUCACUGCAUUUGACCUCUAAGUUAUCAUAUGUCAUGAUUAUGUCAAGAUUCCUCUGAAUCUGGAGGAUGCAUGCAAGUUAUAAUGGCGGAUUCAAAAGAAAUAAGGCGUGAUGAUGAGGUCCUAUAACUUUCAUGUUUGAAGCUAGGGUUUUGGAUUCUGAGAUUUUGAAUGGGGAUGAUGGGAAUGUGAAUGUUCUCGGCUAGAUUCGCGGCUAGCCGGGGGGAGGGGGAAUUAUGAAGUUUGGAUUGUCUUCUGUGACCUUGCACUGAUUUGAGCAUGUUUUAGGGACGGCAGGUGGUUGAGAUGAUGAGAGAAAAGAGAGAAGAAGAGGAAAUGUGGGCGGCUGAUGAGAUGAAAUGUCC
rnacentral:lncRNA from 1 species